rfam:Drosophila sechellia strain Rob3c scaffold_6718 genomic scaffold, whole genome shotgun sequence.
UACAGGACUCAUAUCCGAGGCCCUGUAAUUGGAAUGAGUACCCUUUAAAUCCUUUAACAAGGACCAAUUGGAGGGCAAGUCUGGUGCCAGCAGCCGCGAUAAUUCCAGCUCCAAUAGCGUAUAUUAAAGUUGUUGCGGUUAAAACGUUCGUAGUUGAACUUGUGCUUCAUACGGGAAGUACAACUUACAAUUGUGGAUAGUACUAUACCUUUAUGUAUGUAAGCGUAUCACCGGUGGAGUUCUUAUAUGUGAUUAAAUACUUGUAUUUUUUCCUGUGUUCCUCCUAUUUAAAAGCGUGUCCUAGUGUUCUUACUUUAGUGUUAUUGUGGGCCGGUACUAUUACUUUGAACAAAAUAGAGUGCUUAAAGCAGGCUUCAAAUGCCUGAAUAUUCUGAGCAUGGGAUAAUGAUAUCAGACCUCUGUUCUGCUUUCAUUCGUUUUCAGAUCAGGAGGGAAUGAUUAAUAGAAGCAGUUUGGGGGCAUUAGUAUUACGACGCGAGAGGUGAAAUUCUUGGACCGUCGUAAGACUAACUUAAGCGAAAGCAUUUGCCAAAGAUGUUUUCAUUAAUCACGAACGAAAGUUAGAGGUUCGAAGGCGAUCAGAUACCGCCCUAGUUCUAACCAUAAACGAUGCCAGCUAGCAAUUGGGUGUAGCUACUUUUAUGGCUCUCUCAGUCGCUUCCCGGGAAACCAAAGCUUUUGGGCUCCGGGGGAAGUAUGGUUGCAAAGCUGAAACUUAAAGGAAUUGACGGAAGGGCACCACCAGGAGUGGAGCCUGCGGCUUAAUUUGACUCAACACGGGAAAACUUACCAGGUCCGAACAUAAGUGUGUAAGACAGAUUGAUAGCUCUUUCUCGAAUCUAUGGGUGGUGGUGCAUGCCCGUUCUUAGUUCGUGGAGUGAUUUGUCUGAUUAAUUCCGAUAACGAACGAGACUCAAAUAUAUUAAAUAGAUAUCUUCAGGAGUAUGGUGCUGAAGCUUAUGUUAGCCCUUCAUUCAUGGUGGCAGUAAAAUGUUUAUUGUGUUUGAAUGUGUUUAUGUAAGUGGAGCCGUACCUGUGGCUGUAGUCCCAUUAUAAGGACACUAGCUUCUUAAAUUGACAAAUUGCGUCUAGCAAUAAUGAGAUUGAGCAAUAACAGGUCUGUGAUGCCCUCAGAUGUCCUGGGCUGCACGCGCGCUACAAUGAAAGUAUCAACGUGUAUUUCCUAGACCGAGAGGUCCGGGUAAACCGCUGAUCCACUUUCAUGCUUGGGAUUGUGAACUGAAACUGUUCACAUGAACUUGGAAUUCCCAGUAAGUGUGAGUCAUUAACUCGCAUUGAUUACGUCCCUGCCCUUCGUACACACCGCCCGUCGCUACUACCGAUUGAAUUAUUUAGUGAGGUCUCCGGACGUGAUCACUGUGACGCCUUGCGUGUUACGGUUGUUUCGCAAAAGUUGACCGAACUUGAUUAUUUAGAGGAAGUAAAAGUCGUAACAAGGUUUCCGUAGGUGAACCUGCGGAAGGAUCAUUA